GACUCGUCACACUAUCAUUAACUGAAUCCAUAGGUUAAUGAGGCGAACCGGGGGAACUGAAACAUCUAAGUACCCCGAGGAAAAGAAAUCAACCGAGAUUCCCCCAGUAGCGGCGAGCGAACGGGGAGGAGCCCAGAGCCUGAAUCAGCAUGUGUGUUAGUGGAAGCGUCUGGAAAGGCGCGCGAUACAGGGUGACAGCCCCGUACACAAAAGCGCAUGUGCUGUGAGCUCGAUGAGUAGGGCGGGACACGUGGUAUCCUGUCUGAAUAUGGGGGGACCAUCCUCCAAGGCUAAAUACUCCUGACUGACCGAUAGUGAACCAGUACCGUGAGGGAAAGGCGAAAAGAACCCCGGCGAGGGGAGUGAAAAAGAACCUGAAACCGUGUACGUACAAGCAGUGGGAGCACCCUUUGGGGUGUGACUGCGUACCUUUUGUAUAAUGGGUCAGCGACUUAUAUUCUGUAGCAAGGUUAACCGAAUAGGGGAGCCGGAGGGAAACCGAGUCUUAAUUGGGCGUUAAGUUGCAGGGUAUAGACCCGAAACCCGGUGAUCUAGCCAUGGGCAGGUUGAAGGUUGGGUAACACUAACUGGAGGACCGAACCGACUAAUGUUGAAAAAUUAGCGGAUGACCUGUGGCUGGGGGUGAAAGGCCAAUCAAACCGGGAGAUAGCUGGUUCUCCCCGAAAGCUAUUUAGGUAGCGCCUCGUGAAUUCAUCUCCGGGGGUAGAGCACUGUUUCGGCUAGGGGGCCAUCCCGGCUUACCAACCCGAUGCAAACUGCGAAUACCGGAGAAUGUUAUCACGGGAGACACACGGCGGGUGCUAACGUCCGUCGUGAAGAGGGAAACAACCCAGACCGCCAGCUAAGGUCCCAAAGUCAUGGUUAAGUGGGAAACGAUGUGGGAAGGCCCAGACAGCCAGGAUGUUGGCUUAGAAGCAGCCAUCAUUUAAAGAAAGCGUAAUAGCUCACUGGUCGAGUCGGCCUGCGCGGAAGAUGUAACGGGGCUAAACCAUG
rnacentral:rRNA from 1 species